GCCGAAAAUCUAAGGUUUCCUGAGGAAGGUUCGUCCGCUCAGGGUAAGCCGGGGGCUAAGGCGAGGCGGAGACGCGUAGCCGAUGCACAUACGGUUGAAAUUCCGUAGCCACCGAAAGAUUUAAGUACAGGGACGCUUUAGAAGUGAUGUUGCCGGGCGAUGGUUGACCCGGUCGUAAGGGAUCGAAAAUGAGUAGAGAAGUCAUCAUGGAAAGAGACAAGAAAAGCUGUAUGUAUAUUUUAGGUGCCCGUACCGCAAACCGACACAGGUAGAUGGGAAGAAGAUUCUAAGGCCAACGGGAGAAGGGUUGUUAAGGAACUCGGCAAGUUGACCCCGUAACUUAGGGAUAAGGGGUGCUCAAGUGAUUGAGCCGCAGAGAAUAGGCCCAGGCGACUGUUUAGCAAAAACACAGGUCUCUGCUAAAUCGAAAGAUGACGUAUAGGGGCUGACACCUGCCCGGUGCCGGAAGGUUAAGAGGAGAUGUGAGAGCAUUGAAUUGAAGCCCCGGUAAACGGCGGCCGUAACUAUAACGGUCCUAAGGUAGCGAAAUUCCUUGUCAGGUAAGUUCUGACCCGCACGAAAGGUGUAACGAUCUGGGCACUGUCUCAACAACUCGCCCGGCGAAAUUGUAGUACCGGUGAAGAUGCCGGUUACCCGCGACUAGACGGAAAGACCCCAUGGAGCUUUACUGUAGCCUAAUAUUGGAUUUCGGUAUUUCACGUACAGGAUAGGUGGGAGACUGGGAAGCACAGGCGUCAGCUUGUGUGGAGUCGACCUUGGGAUACCACUCUUGGAGUGCUGGAAUUCUAACCUGCGGCUUUGAAGCAAGUCGGGGGACAUUGUUAGGUGGGCAGUUUGACUGGGGCGGUCGCCUCCUAAAGAGUAACGGAGGCGCUCAAAGGUUCGCUCUGCAUGGAUGGAAACCAUGCGUCAGAGUGUAAACGCAAAAGCGAGCCUAACUGCGAGAAUGACGGUUCGAGCAGUAACGAAAGUUGGAGUUAGUGAUCCGGCGGUAUGUGAAUGGAAAUGCCGUCGCUCAACGGAUAAAAGCUACCCUGGGGAUAACAGGCUGAUCUCCCCCAAGAGUCCACAUCGACGGGGAGGUUUGGCACCUCGAUGUCGGCUCAUCGCAUCCUGGGGCUGAAUUCGGUCCCAAGGGUUUGGCUGUUCGCCAAUUAAAGCGGUACGCGAGCUGGGUUCAGAACGUCGUGAGACAGUUCGGUCCCUAUCUGUCGUGGGCGUAGGAUAUUUGCAAGGAGCUGUCCCUAGUACGAGAGGACCGGGAUGGACGCACCUCUGGUGCACCAGUUGUCACGCCAGUGGCACAGCUGGGCAGCUAUGUGCGGAACGGAUAAACGCUGAAAGCAUCUAAGCGUGAAGCCGACCUUAAGAUAAGAUAUCCCAUCGUAAGAGUAAGACCCCUUAAAGACUAUGAGGUUGAUAGGCUUGAAGUGUACGCAUAGUGAUAUGUUUAGCUUGCAAGUACUAAUCGGUCGAGGGCUUUUCCU
rnacentral:rRNA from 1 species